CACCGGCAGCUCGAGUGGUAGCUGUUUUUAUUGGGCCUAAAGCGUUCGUAGCCGGUUUGAUAAGUCUUUGGUGAAAGCUUGUAGCUUAACUAUAAGAAUUGCUGGAGAUACUAUCAGACUUGAAGUCGGGAGAGGUUAGAGGUACUACCGGGGUAGGGGUGAAAUCCUAUAAUCCUGGGAGGACCACCUGUGGCGAAGGCGUCUAACUGGAACGAUCUUGACGGUGAGUAACGAAAGCCAGGGGCGCGAACCGG
rnacentral:rRNA from 1 species